rnacentral:lncRNA from 1 species
UGUUGAGGUGAAGGGUUGUCUAGUAGUUGUAGGCCUAGGAAAAGGUAUUGAAGGUGUGUCAUAAUUGUAGCCCUUCGUUGGCUCUGGUGAUUACUCUGAAGAGGAGUUUGAUGCUGAAGAUUCUGCUGAGAAGCAAGACACCCUAUGGAUGAUAAAAUAAGAGGCUAGCUGAGAAAGCAGAAGUAGAUAAAUAACUGAGUGUCUGUUAAGAACAUAUGUCCUCCUACUCCAUACACCUACUCCUGUUUACACAAUCAGAUUCAGUCAUCAUGCAGUAAUCGGUUGCCGUGUAAUUUUUAAUGAUGUCACACUGAUAGCGUUUCCUUUUACUAAAAAAACGUGUGUCGGUUAAAUAAUUAUGAUGUACAGUGAGAAUGUAAUGAAUCAUCUGUACGUUGCACUAAGGUGACAUCUGUUUUAAGAAACUGAGGAAAUGUAUUAUGCAAAUUCAUUUUAGAACACUUGUCAUAAUGAUGAUAAUUGUUACCCAUCUAAGUAUUGUAAAUUUGUUUAACACUUGGAAACUGAACGGUUACUGAUGCAAUUAGAAGCGUGUUAAUUAACUGACAAGACUAUAAAAAUCAAUUGGAAAGAUGAGAGUAGUUAUUGAAUACCGAGAGCACAAAAGUAAACAAUCGUGACCAGAAGUAAUCAAAAAAAAGAAGAAGGGAAGAUCUUAAAACGCGCGAUAAUUGCGAGGAGUAUUUCACUGUGCGUAUCUGUCGGUUAUUUGCUGUGGUUUCGCAACGAUUUAAUUAUACGUCUUUCGCCUCAUUUCUACUCAUCUUUUUGUUGACCUCGCUGCAACGAAUACGUGCGAAACUGUGUCUUUUGAAUGCAUCUCAAUUGCUGAUUACAAAAUUAAUAUAAACGGAAGUUGGACAGAUAUUAGGCAGUCAGUUCUGCAAAGAUUUCUGCCCAUUUGAAAAAAUAUUAAAGCUCAUUAAACAACUUCAGUCUAAGAAAGUCACUGAUCUAUAUCACAGAUGAUAUUCUAACUUUUGAUAAAAUUAAAGAGAAGAGAAUUUUGUAUUGAAGUAUCUUCAUAACAGAUUGAGGGUAUAAAAUUAAUUGCACAAGCAUUUACACUUUAACAACAUAUUUAUGUGAAUUGAACAUCAAUUAUUUAUAAUUAUAUUUCAUCAUCUAAAUACUUGUAAGAAUAUUUCUGAUCAAUCUUUGCAAUGAUGAAAGAUACAGUAUACCUAUCCAGAGAUACUGUACUGUCUCCUUGUACAAAUUGUCAAUUCCCUCAGAGUAGCUGUUCAACUUCAUCAUCUAACCCUAUGAUGCAACAAGUGCAGUUCAAAUGUCUGGAAAAAGUCUCACGAGGAAGGCAAUUAGCUACUCAUUUACAGUUCAAUUACGUGCAUCGACGUUUCACUGAAUAAAAAUGCGAAGUGCAUGCCAACAGUUUGCGACGCUCGUGGAAAUAUCAAUCAAUUAAGAGGCGUACGUUGUGGGGUCUUAGUUCAGAGAUCCCUUCAUGAACGGUGUAAGCCAAUCUUUAUUGAAGUUGAGACUCUUGAUAUAUUGAGUCCUGUGAAGCAAGUCAUUUGUUAAGGUGUUCCUUGCAAUUGAAGACAUAUGGAAAGAAGAUAUUGAGCCAGAGGAAGUUUCUGAUUAAGUAAAAUGAGCCAAGAAGAAGCCAGUUGAAUUACAAAAUAGCUCAGAAUUUCAUAAAGAAUGUUAAGUAGCCUCUGUAGCGUCGUUCCUCAUUUAAAUUUACCAGCUGAAGAAAAAGUUGGUUAACAUCAGACACCAUUGUUUUCAGCAGUUAUUGUUUAACGUUCAUUGUCACAGCCAAAGUGAUGCAACCCUUUUUAGAUUUCGAAUCAAGGAUUGCAAUUACCAUGUAAAUUACAUCACACAGAGGCUUAUGAAGGAAAGGAAAGGAGAGCAGAUUUCUAUAAAUUCAUGAUGGAUUAAUUUCAAACUAAUAAUCACGCGUUAUGUACAACUUCAUGUUGUCAGUGCGUUUCUUCGCAUCAGCAAUUUACAUUACAAAAUCGAAAUCCCUUUUACUACCGCGACGAUCAAUCAAUCACAGGAAAUAAACGAAAACUUUCACGUGUGUGCGUUGCAGCUCCUUAAGCGAUCUUUGAAAACGACCCAUUGGCACAAUCACCAGGCAAUAAAAAAUUCACCGACAUUCGUAAAUCUAUCAAGCCUCAUUUGAAUCGUUUAUGGUUUUGUUGCAUAAAAGAGUCAUCCAGUAUCAUAUAUCUUGAAUAUCCAAGAAGAAAGGAGUGCAAAAUUUCCUUGAACUCAGAGUACUUUGAAAAAGAAGAAAGGAAGAUUUUUAUGACACCAAAUACAAUAUUGUAAAUCCCAUAGGACAUUAAAUUAUUCCUUGAAGUGAACUGAAAUCACUAAAGAAUCAUUUUGUAAAGUAACCAGAUCUAAUUUUAAACUCAUGAAGCUAUAAAAAGAUGAGAGAUUCCAAGUAUUCAACGCAGUGGAGAAUCAAGUGAUUUGCUAUUCCUUAUGCAGAAGUGAUUUAGAUUCUCAAGUAGAUAUCGAAUGUGCAGCUCUUCCUAGCCAGGUUUUCCUAACACCUGGAGGCAAACGCAUGCAUAUCGAUAAAUCAAUUACGAGCGUCUCUGUGUGAUUCAUCUCUGCAGAUUAAUCGGAGGGAAUCAGGAAAGAUUGUACGGAAUAUACUCGAUAAUUUGUUGACACCUCUCCCACUCUGGAGAACACGUGAACCGAGAUUUAUGCGCCUCGAGGUUUAUCGGCUUGGGUGCUGUAAUUAAUUAUAAUAAUUAGACGGGCGAAGGGAUCGACGUUUACGGCUUUCAAACUGUUGCUUCUGUUGCCUCUAUGAUUCUUCAUAUGCAUGUUGGAUCAUUUAGCAAGAGCUGCAACUUUUCACUUCAAUUCCUUAAUCAUGUACUUUUGGAACUUUGAUACUGUAGGAAUUCAAUUAAUUCUUCAAUCAUAUACUUUUGGAACUUUGAUAAGAAGUAAUGGAAUUUUCAAAUGAUACUUGUUAAUGGUGAUUGAAUUUAUUAAAAGGAAAAGGAUGUACUCACUUGAAGAUAAAACAUGUUGUGAGGACAAAAGAUUCCUCAGUUAGGUGUGCCUCAAAUAAAGUCGCACCUUUGGAAUGUUCACUGUGGAAAGACAUGGAAAAUCAACCCUUUAUAUAAGCACCAUUUUUCAACCUUUGCUAAUCAACAGUUGAAAUUCUGGAUGGUGGAAAUAAUUGCAUAGAAUACCGAUCGCACAAUCGAUUCACGGAGGCAUCAAGAGAAACACGAUUUUAUCCUUAAACCUAGAUUCUUUGGCUCUCGAGGCUUAAUGCCAUCAGGAGCACAAUUUACUCGACAUUUCGUAAUGCUCUGAUGGUACAAAUACAAAUGAACUUUAUUCUUCAAUAUAAAAACAUUCAUACUAAAUCACAAAACAAUUGCAUGGACUGAAUAUUUGAUAAACUGAGUCUGGGUUCUAAAAAUCAGUGCCUCAUAAUGUAGACCCAUAAACUGCAGAUUAUAAUUAAAUUAUAAUUGAAGGAAUUCGAUUGUUCCUCUUGAAGAGUGCGAGGCAUCAGAGCAAACGAAAGAGUACGGAGAUAUAAAGUCAUUGUGUCGGUUGAGGGAGCAUCAAGAAACGAAGAAAAGGUUGCACAAAAUUAUAGUAUCCGAGAGAUUCCAUUUGAACUGGAAGUAUAUAUCAUUGCAGAUUCAAUUUAAUGCGUGCUUUGCGACAUAAAGGGUUGAAUAGACCUCGACGACAUUUCACGGUUAACCACACCCUGACUUCGAUUGUUCUUAGCAUUGCAUGCAUACACACCACUCCCUGUUCGUACAUCCUCUUUACAGAAGAAAAAUUCGUUUCUUCUACACAUUCUUUGCUUUUUAUUCACUUGGGACCAAAAUAAAAAGCGUUAUUAAACAAAAAAUUUGCAUUAGCAUUCACAGUUUGAAUUGUUUUAGUUGGAUGAUUGUAUCAACAUUCAGGUGAUAUUGAAAGAAGUAGAAUACUUAUUUUCAUUAAAUUAAUACAGAUGUUCACUUUUUUUUAUGCAAAGAGAUCAUCAACAAUUGUAUGUAGGUCUCUGACAAAGACUCUCCUGAUGAAGCAUCAUCAGUUUAAUACAAUUCUCCAACAUGAAACAACAGUAAAAUUACUAAAAGACAUCCCACAAGAACAACAGAAAGUCACAGAGAACGUUCAAUGCGAAUAUCACUGGACAGAUACAACUGCUAAUCCAAAUGCAACGUCAAUAGGAAGGCACCGUGGUGUCACCAGGGGUUGGUUGAACGGAACGUCACCGAGGUCAUGAAGAGUUUAACGUCUCUCUCGAGCCACCCUUACGGAUUCACGGAUACGUUUUUAAGAUGAGCCACGUGUGUCCCGUCGGAUACGAUAUCGUUGCACUCCGCCACGGCUGUGAAUAAAGUCAUUGGGACCGGGGACCAAGAAGAACAGAAGAGGGGACGCGUUUGCCUUGUUUCACCUUACCUUGCCUCACCUUGCCUUAGAACCUUGUUAAGAUCGACCUGGGGAGGAUAAAUCUUGCACCACUUUCUUGCUCCACCAAUGUGCCUACAGCUUUAUGAACGCAUACAUCUCCUUGUGUGUGGAUAACAAAUAGCACCACCAUGAAUUCAAUCGCUACUCAAGCACGGAAGCCGGUAAUAGACAAAAUCUGUCCAGCAGGUGUAUCCAGCAAGGAACAUGAAUCAUUCUGAUGAUCAAGUUGCACGCCAGGUGAUAGAGAGACACCGAGAGAGAGAAUAGAAAUUGCGGAACCGGCGGUUGUAGUAAUUUCCGUGGAUUGUUGCUACAGGAUCAUUCAAAAAGAGACGCAUGACAAAAUGCGACACGAAUAUUUGAAUCUGCAUCGUGGGAUAAUCCGGAUCAGUAGGAUUCAAAUGAUCUUUCCAGCCGCGUGAGCUGACUCGUCUGGCCUCAAAGGUGCAGCAUGAAGAAGUCAUUCCAUCGACUAUCGUGCUACGAAUCGAAAAGAAUUUGAUAUUUCAUGUAGGUGCUCGAAACGUAGCCGAAGAGCCUCGAUGCUCUAUUGAUAUAUUGAGUACCGUAACUCAGGAUUUUUGUGCUCAUUGUUAAACCAUGAAAAUGGAUGACUGCGAAUGUUCUUCUGAUAGAAGAUUAAUGGAAGGUUGAUGGAGAGAGCUUCAUUCUUAAAAAUCACUGGAUGUAAUAGUUAUUUUAGUUGGAUGAAAGCUGACUGGAAGAUUGAGUUAUUAAUACUGAAAUUCUUCAUAUAUGAUAUUCUUGGUACUAUCUUUAUUAAAAUAAAGAAUAUGAAGAAUCGAAGGAUGUACGUUUUCCUUUGAAGGAAUUUUCACAAAACCUCCGGCACAUCCUUGGUACACAGCUUCGGCAAGCGGAGAAAGGCACGCGCGGAUACGCACGCUCAGAAUUGCUCGGCGAGCAAUCCACCUUUUGCCCCGUAUUUACCUGCAUUCAACAACGCCGAGACCAGGUCAGGAGAGAACACGAGGGGCACACUUGAAGCUUAACUUGCAUCAACCCUUUCACGGCCGAGCAGUUGUUCGUGCUGAAAAUCAUUGCACAUCCUUGUCCAUCGACUUAGAGAUAUGUUAAAGAGGAUAUGCAUCGAUGCUCGUGGGAAGUGGUGCGAAAAAACUUGCGAAACAUUUGCACUUUGUAUCCGAGGAGGACGUCCAUCUUGAGUGGGCUGUAUCUUGCGUUGCGAAAUGUACGUUAGAACGUUGUUGCACGAAUUAUUUGAUGAUUACCAGUCGCGGUUUUACACCCACCGGAAAGCUGUUCAUUAAUGGAUUCGCCAUAAUUUUAGUACAAAGAAUUUCUUCUUGGGAAUGAUGAAUGGUGUGGAUGUUGCAAACGAUUCUGUGUUUUAUUAAGAGGCCAUUUAUAGCACUUGAAUGUGGCUAUUUAUAGCUACGCAUAUACUUGUACAGCAAUCUAGGAAAUUAGAUAUUUAACUAAUUGAACUAAUUGAAUAUUUAGAACAGUCGAAUUUUUGUAAGAAAUAGCGUGACGUAAGAGAGGAUUAUAUCAGAGUUUCCACGGUGCUCUGGCAAAAUGUUGCAUUGAUGGGAACCCGAGAAAUCGACUUGCAAUUUUUCAAAUAAGUUUAUACAACUACAUAUAGAAUAUUUUCUCCAUUAAAGUACUGUGACAUUCCCUGGAAGAUUUAAAUGGAUGCGUAGAGAAUUGCAGUUUCUUCUUUUUCUGCUUACAGUGAUACAUCACAAUUUUGUCACGUUCGAAUAUUUUAGUUAUUAAUAUAUUUAAACGACGAAGGAAAUUCUUCAGCAUGAAAGUGUAGAACGUUGCGUUAGAAAUGAAUCUCCGGCGUGAGAACAUUCAUUUACUCAUCGGCAGCGGCGAAAGAAUCAAACGAUUAGGAGUUACAUCGAGUAUAACAUGUUUUCAUUGCGGCUACCAAGUCGAAUGGGAGCUGACACGCGGUAAACUCCAAUGAAAAUCUAUCAAUUAUCGAGGAGAUAUUCGUGUCAAAUUGAAACGGCGCUUGAAGAUGACGGUUAUACAUCACAUUGAUUUCUAUCCUCCAUCUCAGAGAUUCUCAAAUGAAACUAUAUAACUUCACAAUUUUUUAAUAUUGAAAUGCUUUGAGAUCUUCAUAUUUUGAGACAUACAAAUUUUGAAGCUCUGGUACUUUGAAAGUUUUCAACUUUAAAGUUUAAUGGACUUUAAAACCUGAAGACUGAGACAACAAAAUUUCCAAAAUUGUAUUCUUUGAAAAAUGAUGUGUUUCAAGUAAUUGAUUAACCAGAAAUAAUUGGUCAAAAGUAAAGUUGGUUCAAAAGUAAAAUUGGUCCAUGAAAGUUUGGGAAUCUCUGCUCAACUAGAAGCUAUUACAAAAUUGAAACUGAAUCCUUCAUAGAAUGUUGCAUCGCGAGGCUCCUUCAACUAGAACAAUGGCAAUCUCUUCAGCAUCAGACAGCUCUACUUGCCGGCUGUCUUCUAACUAGUAUCAAACAACACCGAUGAAUUAUGACCAUGACUGUUGGGCGUCACGGAGGUCGGCUUCAAAACCGGAGGAUCCUCCUUUUAACGCGGAUCCUGGCGAGAGGAAGACACCAAGCAGAACGGGGAGAGUUCGCACGGGUGAAUUCAAUGGAAGGUUAUGAAUAUCCGAUCCUCUGUCGAAGUUGCGUGUCAUAGUUAGCCGACUUCUUUUUCGCUGUGACGCCUUUGUCUGGUGUGCAUGUACCUAGGCAUUCCCUCGGUCAGAAUGAAAGUGAAAAUCUUCGUUCUAGUCGCGGAUGACCUACUGCUUGCCAAGAAUCUAGGUGCCCCGUCACAUCAUGCUGCUGUGUACGUCUUGUGUUCAGAACACCUUUGGGGAGCAGUUUCAUCAAAUUGAAUUGUAUUUUUCUUGUGGUAUUCACCUCAUCCUGGUUACAAUUAUUCACCUGGAAAAGAGAUAUUAGUAUAAAUUUAUUAUAAAAUGGUACAUUGAAGGGUGCUUCAUGAAGUGAUACAAGAUAUGAGCAAGAUAUAAAAGUAAUUAUCUUUGGUAGUGAAACAAAUAUUUCUAUACUAAGUGAUUUCUAUUAAUAUUACCUGUUAGGUUAUGAAGGUAUGAUUAUUGAAAAUGAAAUGUGAGAUCCACAAGAUUUACGAGAUUAUUCGUUGCUUAAGUGAACGCAAGCUAGUGAGCAGCUAUAUUAUUUAAACCGAGAAAUUAGCAAUUGCAAUGCUGAUCGAUAAAUGUCAAUGUCAAAAUGCUCGACUGAUUAUCAUGUACGAAAAAGGAAACUGGUGAUUUCCAUGGAGCACCAUGUUGAAACGAGGACGGGAGGCUCGCUUAGAAGCGUCACGCAUCAUUAUGGAACCAUAGUACACUUUACAGUAUCCUUUAUCCCAUGAACGGUGGAGAUACCGUUUAAUGAUACAUAACGAGCUUUUAUGAACUGUGAAGAAGUACAUAGAUACAUUCUAAUCUCAACCACUAUUAUGAGAGUUCUGGACGCUUAAGUUUCAUGACUUAAAUGUAAGCUGUCUAGAACCUUGUAUGUCCUUGACUUUUAAACUUUAGAGUACUUAACCUACAAAUUUCAAAGUUCCGAGACUACCAGUUCCAAAUUAUAAAAUUUAAUUUAAAGUUUUUAACUACUAAGAUUUCUAACCUAAUAACAAGAAAUUGAAAGCUCUAAUGUCUGCAAAAUCUAAUUGAUAGAUUCAGCAGCGUAUCACAGUUCUACAUCACAAGAGGUCCAUUCAAGUUUUCAUAGCAUAAAUAGCAUUCGAACGUCAAUUAGAACAAGAAACAACAGUAAUCUCCAGAUUCGAUCUGCUUCAGGUUUCAUCACUUAAAGAAGAGAGACUUCUGCCAAAUCCAUAAAACGAGUUCAUCACGCUUGCUCAGCUGUGUGGAGGCUUGUAAAACAUGUCCUAUUAUCAUCCUUCUUUUUUCUCAACCUAUCUUCAUCGCCGUAAAUGCACAUCUUAUUCUCUUCUCACAUCAUUCGAAACGCUCAUGACAUUUCGGUCGCCUCAACCUUAAAGUCUCGCCACCCGAGACCGUGGCUGAUCGCUUGCGUGAUCUCUCUUAUGUAAGUGAGCCUGAUCUAAAUCCUGAAACGAGUGGGACAAGCAAGGACUAACGUGACUGGAGGCGUAGGACCAUUAGGGAUCCUUUGCAAGGUAAACUCUUCUUGAAGAGUAGUUGAAGAAUAUCUCUUCUACUGAUCUGAGUUUGUUGAGACCUCUUCGCUGAAGGUAUAACAUCAAUUAUGUAGCAACUUUUAUUGCAGUAAUUGGAAGAGCAUUCAACAAAAUUUAUAGAAGUAUUGUUACUUGAUAUUCAUUCUUUAUAUUUUGAUACUCUACAUGAUUUUAUUAUCUUAUAGGUGGUGAAUGUCCUUGCAUAUUUUUGUGUGCGUAUCACCACAUUCGCUGUUACUGUGUAGACACAUAAUUUGUAUACUGUAAGAACUGAAAUGUUGAGAAGUGUGCCAUCAAUAGUAUAUAUUCUGAGGUCAUCAUUGCAGAUAGGAACAUCGUUACUGUCGAAUUUUUCUUCGCAUACCGAUCUCGUUUGUUAACACAAAGGACGCCACGGUGAACUUUUACUUCGCCUUAAACUUUAAACACAUCACGGUGCAACUUAGCAACUGGCCUCUUUUGUUUGUUCUCAUAAAGGAGACGAACAGCGGAAUGCUAUUAUAGUUCACCGGGUUAUCGUCAAUCAGUCAUGCUCGGGGGAUAAUUAAACGACUUAAAUGCACGUCGUAUGAAAUCGAUUCUAAAGCUGUAUCCUUUUUUGUCUCUCUUUUCCACGACCAUCGAAAGAAGGAUAUUUUCCUGAUAAAAGCUGCCUGGUACCUGUUUUGCUCGUAAUUAUUCUUUUAUAACCAGACAGGACCGGGAACUUUCUACGUCUUAUGUAAAAUAAUAUAAAAAGAAGAAAAUUAAACGAAAGCAUAAAAAUAAG